rnacentral:lncRNA from 1 species
CCUUUGGGACUUGAAACACAUUUUUUCUCAAAAGGUGUUACAAAGAGUUGUUCAGUAUUCUCUGAUCAGGUCCAGGAAGACCCUAAAGUCAGAGGUACAGCAGAACCAGAGGGCACACACCCGAGCCCUGCAGCCAGGGACAGGUACAGAACAGAUUAAAAAAUAGAGAAUACAGGUUGCCUACAUGAAGAAAGAAAGAGAGACUUCCAGAAACACGGCAGCAACAAAUCUCCCUCUCUAAGAUUUGGAAUCCAGACACUGAAAAUAACAGCUUGGGGAAUAAAAGAAGGAAGAAGGUGGAUCCCUGGUACCCAGGAAGGACCUGAAGGGAAAAUUGAAACCUGCAGAACCACUGAAGAGACAGACCACAACACAGAAAAAGAAAAGCGCAAUCUGCCCUUUCUCCUCUCUUCUCUCUCAUGGUGGGAGAAAGGAAGAUCAGCUCUACAAAGACACAGUGAAAGUGGUGACUCCAAAGGUCUUCAGGGAGAAACACACCAGUGGGUAGAGCAGUGGAUGCUGUUUGCUAAAAAGGCGGUGAGUGACCCCAGUCCAAGCAACUGCUGAAUGCCCUCAAGAGAGUGCUUGGUCAGAUGCCGUUCUGGAGAGGGGCCAACUGAACCUGGGACUCAGAGUAGCCAUGGGUUGGCUUCAUCCCAGGGCUCCCAAGUUAAACUCCCACAGUGACUGGGUGAGGGACAACCAUGGGAGACAUUCAUGGUCAGGGAGCCAUGGUCAGGCUGGUAAGACACCCAGAGUGUUAUAAGCUAAGUGACUCAAGCCCUAACCCCAUGACCAGAGGCCAGGUUCAGCUUGAAGUUCUGUGGACUUGAAAGGACCAGAACUGGCACCCCACCCUAACCUGCUACUGGCUUGCUGGCAAUUAUCCAGCAUAGUUCUGGGCUCUGACUGCCUGCUUUGUCUACCAGUGAGAGCAGACUCACACCUUGAAUUGGACACUGCCACAAAACUGUAGGCUCCAGAAGAUAACCACAGGCUUGAAAUCAC